rnacentral:misc_RNA from 1 species
AAGUCGUAACAAGGUUUCCGUAGGUGAACCUGCGGAAGGAUCAUUAUCGAGUUAGGGUUCCUUUACGGGCCCGACCUCUCAACCCCAUGUUGCCCGACACUGUUGCCUCGGGGGGCGACCCGGCCCUCCGGCGCCGGGGCCCCCGGUGGACCGUUAAACACUGCAUCUGUGCGUCCGAGUCAAAUGAUAAAUCAAUCAAAA